rnacentral:misc_RNA from 1 species
GAUGAAGAACGUAGUGAAAUGCGAUAAGUAAUGUGAAUUGCAGAAUUCAGUGAAUCAUCGAAUCUUUGAACGCACCUUGCGCUCCUUGGUAUUCCGAGGAGCAUGCCUGUUUGAGUGUCAUUAAUAUAUCAACCUCUUCAACUUAUGCUUGUUGAGUGUUGGAUGGUGGGGGUUUGCUGGUGUCUUAUGAAGUCAGCUCCUCUGAAAUGCAUUAGCGGAACAAUUUGUUGACCGUUCAUUGGUGUGAUAAAAAUAUCUACGCUAUUGACGUCAGUCAGUUCAGCUUCUAACAGUCCAUUGACUUGGACAAAUUUUUCAUUAAUGUGACCUCAAAUCAGGUAGGACUACCCGCUGAACUUAAGCAUAUCAAUAAGCGGAGGA